GGAAGUAUGGUGUAAUGGUAGCACAACAGAUUUUGGUUCUGUUUGUCGUGGUUCGAAUCCACGUACUUCUA
rnacentral:tRNA from 1 species